rnacentral:lncRNA from 1 species
GAGAUAUAUACAGAGAGGGAGAGAGAGAUAUAGAGAGAGGGAGAGAUAUAGAGAGAGAUAUAGAGAGAGGGAGAGAUACAGAGAGAUAUAGAGAGAGGGAGAGAUAGAGAGCGAUAUAGAGAGAGGGAGAGAUAUAGAGAGCGGGAGAGAUACAGAGCGAUAUAGAGAUAUAGAGAGCGGGAGAGAUACAGAGCGAUAUAGAGAGAGGGAGAGAUACAGAGAGAGAUAUAGAGAUAUAGAGAGAGGGAGAGAUACAGAGAGAGGGAGAGAUACAGAGAGAUAUAGAGAGAGGGAGAGAUACAGAGAGAUAUAGAGAGAGGGAGAGAUAGAGAGAUAUAGAGAGAGAUACAGAGCGAUAUAGAGAGAGGGAGAGAUAUAGAGAGAGAUAUAGAGAGAGGGAGAGAUACAGAGAGAGAUAUAGAGAUAUAGAGAGAGGACAUUUCUGUGGUUAAGGAGGCUCUGUGUCUGGUCUAGUGGGUUGUCAGGACUCAUGGAGUGUGUUUGUGGCGAUCUGAUGUGACAGAGAGGUAGUCUAUACUGGCGUGCGUCGCUCUCUCUCUCUCUCUCUCUCUCUCUCUCUCUCUCUCUCUCUCUCUCAUCCCCCAUGUCCCCCUGCAGCACUAAGUGACCUACAUCUCGUGUCAGGGGGCGUUUCUGUCUGUGUGUGUGUGUGUGCAGGCGGGGGCUAAGGGUUGUGUAGGUCAUUGGAGCGUUGUAACAUGUGACUUAUGGGGCUAAGGGUUGUAGGUCAUUGGAGCGUUGUAACAUGUGACUUAUGGGGCUAAGGGUUGUGUAGGUCAUUGGAGCGUUGUAACAUUAAUGUGAUGUGUUCCAGUGUUCUUUUACAAUGGAUUCUGAAGACAUUCCCAUUCUAGAACCAGCUCCUGUCUCAUUAUAUAUAUAACAGUAAUGUGAUGUGUUCCAGUGUUCUUUUACAAUGGAUUCUGAAGACAUUCCCAUUCUAGAACCAGCUCCUGUCUCAUUAUAUAUAUAACAGUAAUGUGAUGUGUUCCAGUGUUCUUUUACAAUGGAUUCUGAAGACAUUCCCAUUCUAGAACCAGCUGUCACGUCCUGACCAUAGUAAGAUGUUAUUUUCUAUGGUAGAGUAGGUCAGGGCAUGACAGGGGGUGUUUUGUGUUUUUCUAUGUUUUCUAUAUCUAUGUUUAGUUCUAGUUUUCUAUUUCUAUGUUGUUGUUUUUUGGGAUGAUCUCCAAUUAGAGGCAGCUGGUUCUCGUUGUCUCUAAUUGGAGAUCAUAUUUAAGUAGGGGUUUUUUCUUCCUGGGUUUGGUGGGUGAUUUAAUUUUGAGUAGUGUUUGUUCUCCUCUGUGUCAUGGUUUGUUGUUUGUGUCUAUUCAGUUAUUUUGAUGUAUUGCAUGAGCUUCACAGAGUAAAUAAAAUACAGAACUACCCACCACGACUGGAUCAAGCAGCGUGCCCGGGAGGAGAUGGAUUCCUGGUCUCUGGAGGAGAGGCUAGAGAGGGUAAACUGGACUUGGGGCCAAGUACUGGACAGAUAUAGAAGCCUGCCGGGGAGGCACGAGAGGCUACAGAAACCCAAAUAAAAAAAUUGGGGGGGGGGCACAUGGAGCAGUCGGCGGAGCCGAGGAGUAAACCAGAGCCAAUCCGGGAGAAGAGGGAAAAUUUGGAGAGGGGAGAAAUGGGAGAGUUAUUGAGUUGGUGGAGGACGCACAAGUAUUUCCCAAAGGAACGUGUCGUCAGUUUGGUGCCACCUGAGUCAGCUCCCCGUACUCGUCCUGAGAAGUGUGUGGAAGUUCCGGAACAAGUGAUACCGGCUAUACACACCAGGUCUCCAGUACGUCUCAACAGCCCGGUACGUCCUGCGCC